UCGAUCACGUGUGAAUCAUCGAAUCUUUGAACGCACUUUGCACCUCGUGGCUUUUGUCACAAGGUAUACUUGUUUGAGUAUCCACAACCAUCUCACCUCUCCUUCGGGUUGAAGUGGAUUUGAGAUUCGAUGAGACUCUUUCGGGAGUCGAGUCGUUUCUUUAAAUGUGUGUGACCGUAUAGGGAUGUCUCCGCUGGACGUCUAGGUAGAGUCAUUGGGAUAACAUCCUAACAAUCGCCUACCUAGUGCUUAGAUCUCGCAAGAGGCCUAAGAGGAAGUGUUGACGGACCCCUGGUCACUCAAGGGAAACAGGAUGUGCAAGCAUCUUGAAUCCAUGAGGCUUCGGCUUCUGUGAAAUGGAUCUCAAAUCAAGUAAGGAUACCCGCUGAACUUAAGCAUAUCAAUAAGCGGAGG
rnacentral:rRNA from 1 species